rnacentral:rRNA from 1 species
UACGGAGGGUGCAAGCAUUAAUCGGAUUUAUUGGGCGUAAAGGGCGCGUAGGCGGGGAAGUAAGUCAGAUGUGAAAGCCCAGGGCUCAACCCUGGAACAGCAUUUGAAACUACUUUUCUAGAUGGUAGGCGGAGAAAACAGAAUUCCACGUGGAGCGGUGAAAUGGGUAGAUAUGUGGAGGAAUACCUGUGGCGAAGGCAGUUUUCUAGCUUAUUCCUGACGCUAAUGCGCGAAAGCAAGGGGAGCAAACAGG